rnacentral:lncRNA from 1 species
UAGGCACAAUGGUUCGUUGCUAUUUAGAGACUUUCUCUUCAAGCUCAAUUUUCCUCCCACUGUCUCUGUCAAGGAUAAACUAUUUCCAUGAAGAUAGCAUCUAGGCUCACAAACACUUUGUGAUCCUUUGGGAUGAAAAGUCGUAUCCUAAUGACUCUUUAGGAUAUCCUAUAAAACGAGCAUUAAUUGUCCUAUCCUCUAGCUUGUCUGCCU